rnacentral:sRNA from 1 species
AUCGCAACAGGGGCAAGACCAGGAGGCCAGUCAUGUUUUUCGAUAAUGUGGUGUUUGCCGGGGUGUUGACGGUCGGCCUCAUGGUCGUGUUUUUCGCAGGCUUUGGAUUAUUCAUCUGGAAAGACGCGCACAAGCGGAAAAAACCGUAGGUCUUUCCGGCUACAACGAGCACGCAAGGCAUUUUGGGCGACUUCGGUCGCCCUUUUUUUU